rnacentral:rRNA from 1 species
CCUACGGGAGGCAGCAGUGAGGAAUAUUGGUCAAUGGACGAGAGUCUGAACCAGCCAAGUAGCGUGAAGGAUGACUGCCCUAUGGGUUGUAAACUUCUUUUAUAAAGGAAUAAAGCGAGGCACGUGUGCCUUUUUGCAUGUACUUUAUGAAUAAGGAUCGGCUAACUCCGUGGCAGCAGCCGCGGUAAUACGGAGGAUCCGAGCGUUAUCCGGAUUUAUUGGGUUUAAAGGGAGCGUAGAUGGGUUGUUAAGUCAGUUGUGAAAGUUUGCGGCUCAACCGUAAAAUUGCAAUUGAUACUGGCAGUCUUGAGUACAGUUGAGGUAGGCGGAAUUCGUGGUGUAGCGGUGAAAUGCUUAGAUAUCACGAAGAACCCCGAUUGCGAAGGCAGCUUACGAAACUGUGACUGACAUUGAUGCUCGAAAGUGUGGGUAUCAAACAGGAUUAGAUACCCCGGUAGUC